AUACGGAGGAUCCGAGCGUUAUCCGGAUUUAUUGGGUUUAAAGGGAGCGUAGGCGGACGCUUAAGUCAGUUGUGAAAGUUUGCGGCUCAACCGUAAAAUUGCAGUUGAUACUGGGUGUCUUGAGUACAGUAGAGGCAGGCGGAAUUCGUGGGGGAGCGGUGAAAUGCUUAGAUAUCACGAAGAACUCCGAUUGCGAGGGCAGCCUGCUGGACUGUAACUGACGCUGAUGCUCGAAAGUGUGGGUAUCAAACAGGAUUAGAUACCCUGGUAGUCCACACAGUAAACGAUGAAUACUCGCUGUUUGCGAUAUACAGUAAGCGGCCAAGCGAAAGCGUUAAGUAUUCCACCUGGGGAGUACGCCGGCAACGGUGAAACUCAAAGGAAUUGACGGGG
rnacentral:rRNA from 1 species